rnacentral:ncRNA from 1 species
UUAGUUGCAUUGAGAAGAGGAGUAUCUUCUAUUAUUUAUUUAAAGAGAGUCUUCGUUUGGUGAGAGAAGAUAAUAAAUGUAGUUGAGAAUAAAGACUUUGAGCAGCAAUCUGGAUUGUAAAUGAUAGGUUGCCGGGUAAUCCCGUUACAGAUGAAGAGUAUGUAGUACUUAGUGAGGUUUAAAGUGUGAACUUUAAAUAAAUAUGGGUGGUAACACGGUUUUAACGCUCCGUCCCAAGU